AGAGUUUGAUCCUGGCUCAGGAUGAACGCUAGCUACAGGCUUAACACAUGCAAGUCGAGGGGCAGCAUUUCAGUUUGUCUUGCAAACUGGAGAUGGCGACCGGCGCACGGGUGAGUAACACGUAUCCCAACCUGCCGAUAACUCGGGGAUAGCCUUUCGAAAGAAAGAUUAAUACCCGAUGGUAUAAUCAGACCGCAUGGUCUUGUUAUUAAAGAAUUUCGGUUAUCGAUGGGGGAUGCGUUCCAUUAGGCAGUUGGUGAGGUAACGGCUCACCAAACCUUCGAUGGAUAGGGGUUCUGAGAGGAAGGUCCCCCCACAUUGGAACUGAGACACGGUCCAAACUCCUACGGGAGGCAGCA
rnacentral:rRNA from 1 species